GUUUCUUUUUCCUCUUUGACCAUCUUGCAUGGAUGCAAUAAAACACAGUUCUGAAAUGCUAGGACGUCUGUCUGCACUAAAGAAGUCUCAUUCCAAUUUCAAGGGCUCACUUGCCUCUGGAACUGGCCUUGAGAAUGGGAGUGCCUACUCCUCCCUCAACAGCUGACGUAAAAGGGAGAACUUCCUGGAGGCCAGCCAAGAGCCUACUGGGGCAUAAUCAGGCUGCCCAGCUUGUUGGCUUGGACAUGGCUCCUCUCCACUUAGGAGGCUCUGCCCACUCACAUUCCAGGCCUCAGCUUGCCAUGUUUUCCUGUUAAGCCCAGAACCCUUCCCCUGGGUCCCUUCCUCAGAGGGGACAUGUUGGGAGCCACAGUCUCAGAGAUACUUGGGAUUUUAAACAUGAUGCAACUCUAGGGCUGACUUUGGAAUUCUGUGGGCUGUGCUUGGCCCAGAUCCCACCUUUGGGCCACUUUUGCUGCUGCUAUUAUUUUUAGUUGGUGGGGCAAUCAUUGUGUGCCUUUGUACAGUUUUCAUUUGGGAAGCCUUAGAGCUCUUUAACUCCACUCCAUUCUAUCACAUCCUUGUUUAGCAAUGAUCAUCCUUUUGCAUUACAAACUAGAAAAGCAACUCCGUAAGACUAACAAACUCUCUUCAACCAAGUAAAGGAGACUCCUUGUGGAGGGGAGCCCCUGCCCGCUCACCUGGAUGACCAUGCCUCACCUCUGCCGAUCACAUGCAAAUAUUUGUCCUGUUCUGAGACAUCCUCCUGGGUCCCAGCUUCUUCUCUUGAAGAUACAGAUUUCCAGUGCACCAUCAGAAGCCGAAGUAACUGUGAGUGGGAGGCAUUGGAGCCGGCUGGGAGCGUGAUGAUUAAGCAAACCUAAGGGAAGAGAGCCAGAGCCAAGCUGAAACAAGCACAGAGGAAUGCCCUGCGCAGCUCCACGUAUAUGUCCACUGCAAGCAUUCUCCACGGCACCAGUGUGGGCCUUGACCAACACAGACUCAACGAAUUUAUUUCAUAAAUAAGUAAAAGGAAAGCCUUUCAGAUAUUUACAUUUUGCAUAUAAGAUCUUUGAACAAAGUGUAAG
rnacentral:lncRNA from 1 species